rnacentral:lncRNA from 1 species
GAAAUUCUUGUUUUCAAAAUCUUAUAUUGGUCGGUGUGCUAUUAUUGAGUUAAUGAAUAGAAGCUCGCAGAUUUCUUGUUAAUUAUGGUGAUUGCAGAUUGGCAGGGGUGGAUUUAUGCGGGUUUAGCUUGAAACUUAAAUUUCUCGCUAAUUUUACCACAAAAUAUUUAUUUCUCGCCACGCUUGGCAAGAUAUCUACAUUUCACCCUCUCUAGAAGAAUAUUUAAAAAAUUUCGAUAAUAAUACCUCCAAAAAAAUUUCGCCUCGCUCCGCUCGGCGGAAAUUUAAGUUUGCGCCCCCCAUAACCGAAAAUCCUGGAUCCGCCCCUG